rnacentral:rRNA from 1 species
UGGGGAAUAUUGCACAAUGGGGAAGACCCUGAUGCAGCGACGCCGCGUGAGUGAAGAAGUAUUUCGGUAUGUAAAGCUCUAUCAGCAGGGAAGAAAAUGACGGUACCUGACUAAGAAGCCCCGGCUAACUACGUGCCAGCAGCCGCGGUAAUACGUAGGGGCAAGCGUUAUCCGGAUUUACUGGGUGUAAAGGGAGCGUAGACGGCAUGACAAGCCAGAUGUGAAAACCCAGGGCUCAACCCUUGAACUGCAUUUGAAACUGUCGUUCUUGAGUACUGGAGAGGUUGACGGAAUUCCUAGUGUAGCGGUGAAAUGCGUAGAUAUUAGGAGGAACACCAGUGGCGAAGGCGGUCAACUGGACAGCAACUGACGCUGAGGCGCGAAAGCGUGGGGAGCAAACAGGAUUAGAUACCC